rnacentral:rRNA from 1 species
GGGUUGUGAGGUUAAGCGACUAAGCGUACACGGUGGAUGCCCUGGCAGUCAGAGGCGAUGAAGGACGUGCUAAUCUGCGAUAAGCGUCGGUAAGGUGAUAUGAACCGUUAUAACCGGCGAUUUCCGAAUGGGGAAACCCAGUGUGUUUCGACACACUAUCAUUAACUGAAUCCAUAGGUUAAUGAGGCGAACCGGGGGAACUGAAACAUCUAAGUACCCCGAGGAAAAGAAAUCAACCGAGAUUCCCCCAGUAGCGGCGAGCGAACGGGGAGAAGCCCAGAGCCUGAAUCAGUGUGUGUGUUAGUGGAAGCGUCUGGAAAGGCGCGCGAUACAGGGUGACAGCCCCGUACACAAAAAUGCACAUACUGUGAGCUCGAUGAGUAGGGCGGGACACGUGGUAUCCUGUCUGAAUAUGGGGGGACCAUCCUCCAAGGCUAAAUACUCCUGACUGACCGAUAGUGAACCAGUACCGUGAGGGAAAGGCGAAAAGAACCCCGGC